GCUGGGGGUGGUGGCACAUGCCUUUAGUCCUAGCUACUUGGGAGGUUGAGGCAGGGGGAUUGCUUGAGCCCAGGAGUUUGAGGCUGCAGUGAGUGAUGACGGCACCACUGUACUCCUGCCUGGGUGACAGAGCAAUACCCUGUCUCUA
rnacentral:SRP_RNA from 2 species